rnacentral:rRNA from 1 species
AUGGCGGUGCCGCUUCUGACGAAGAAGAUCGUGAAGAAGAGGGUCAAGCACUUCAAGAGGGCCCAUAGCGACCGCUACAUUGGCCUCAAGAUCCCGAUUGUUAAGCAUGCUGUCGUUUCAACUUUCAAAGUUUACCGCGGUUCAUGGCCUGCUGUAGUAUCUCCAUUGCAUAAUCUGGAGCAAAGCUGGCGCAGGCCAAAGGGUAUUGAUUCCCGUGUCAGGAGAAAGUUCAAGGGAUGCACCUUGAUGCCCAACAUUGGCUACGGUUCUGACAAGAAGACCAGGCACUACCUUCCCAACAAGUUCAAGAAGUUUGUUGUCCACAAUGUGUCUGAGCUGGAGCUGCUUAUGAUGCACAACAGGACCUACUGUGCGGAGAUCGCCCACAACGUCUCCACCAAGAAGCGCAAGGACAUCGUUGAGCGUGCUGCGCAGCUCGACAUCGUGGUUACCAACAAGCUUGCCAGGCUCCGCAGCCAGGAGGAUGAGUAG